rnacentral:ncRNA from 1 species
GGACAGUAUCAACUAAGAACUGUACCUAUUUUGCUAGUCUACUAUAAAAUUAUCUGCUUUGAUCUACACAAGACAGAGACGGAAG